AUUCCAUUCCUAGAAAUGCUUUAAAACUCAAUCAUUUCAGUUGAAACACAGUAAAUAAAUAACAAGAAGCUUUGCACAGAUCGUUAAUGGUGUAAAUUCGACAGCAGAAUCCUGUGUCAUGGAAGUCACUGUCGGGUGAUGGGGGAAGCAGGUACUGAAGGCUGGACUGACUCUCCAGUCUCAUUUCAGAAAGAGAAAAAUGAUGCUCGCACACAGGUUUUCCUCUCCCUUCUGAGAGUGUAACGACUCUCAGCUCUCGGCUGUAUUUUCAUCAGGCUACGCUGCUCCAAUACCAUCCAGAAAGGUGGAUGGGUUCUCUCCUGACUCCCAAGGGGAGGAGCGCUGUACAGAGAAACUGAUGCUGCUUGAUGUCAGCAAAGACUCCUGGCCUUGUCAAAUUGGUCAACGUCCACAGAAUAGUCUUUCUAGUUGAAGCAAGGGAUCGUCAGAGCACAGAAAGUCCAUGGGCUCAUCCCUGCUGGAAGCUUCUAUUUUGAUAACACUUAGAAGUUCAGAAGUUUUACUAACGGGACUACAUGGGCUGGGCCACUUGGGACCCUGAAAAUGUCUCACUUCAAGUACAUAAUCAUCCAUGAUGCAAGAGGCAUUGGUGUAUUCUGUGCCUUCCCCACUCAGGGACAAAAUGCCACCCCUUGACCUUUCCGCAGGGAUGGUGGAAGGAGUUCUGUUCUUUUCCCUGUUGCAUUGCUUUAGGGCUGUGGAAUAGUCACUCCUCUGUAUGUCUGAUUGACUCAGCAGUUUGAAUUGUUUCUCCAGCUUUGUUUUUCCUGCCGGUCCAGGAAUGAAGAGCAUGUUGACAUAGGCGUGAAUAUGACUGUCUGGCACCUCAGACUCUUCACUAAGUAUGGCCUCCACCAGAGCAUCAUACUAUUUCUCAGUUUGCACCAAAUAGUUUCUUUGCAAACGAAUGUGUUUUAAGGAGCAAACAUGUUGACAGUGCCUCCGUGCUGAAUCUGCAACAUACUGUCUAGCACAAGAGAGAAAGGAAAAAAGAGUGAGAGAGAGGGAGAAGAGAGAAAACCAUCAGUGUGAGAGAGAAACACUGACUGGUUGUCUACCAUACAUGCCCCAGCUGGGGAUCAAACCCGCAACCAAGGACCUCAAGCCCGAAGAACUCAAACUGCGAUUUGGAGCUUAUCUCAUUAUUAUGCACCACCAUACCCUCAAAGGAUGUGGGCCUGUAUCAUUAUCUUCACGUUUCAGAUGAAACAUGGCCGUGGAGAGCAGCCCAGCUCUAUACAUGUCUGGGUGAAGGAUUCAGAGAUGGCUUCCUUGUAUCUCCAUUUAUCCGUGUCUGAUUUGGCUUUGCCCUCGCUUGUAAGAAACAAGACUGAGAUAAACCAAGUGGAAUGCCGCCGUUUCAGCCCGAUGUGCCUGGUGUCACAGUCUGGCCAGCGCAGUAAGAUCAAAGCCCUACGGCCGUGGUGAGGACAAAAGGCUGCAAGGAAGCAAGGCGGGCAAAGAGGCCAUUACGCAGUGGCCUGGGUACCCACGUGUCCUUGGAAAAAUAUGAAAAACAAAGAUGUGAAUUAUUGAACAGUGACAGUGAAAACCUACAUCUCACAGGGAAAACAGCCAGCUCAGAGAUCCAAGCAGAGGCCAUGCCCGAGCUGGGAUUUGAGACCCGUGUGAUCUUUCCCAUGGUACGAUCCUGGCCAUCCAUGUGCGACUCGACGGCUUCCGACACUUCUCACCACUUCUCAUUCUGCAGCUCCCUCUGCGUUUUUUAAAAAAGCAGGCCAAAGACACUUGUCAUUAGUGACCCAAUGACCACUAAAAGGGACAUGAGAAAUGUCACACUGGGAAUACCAGUGGUCCAUCUGACCAAGAAUUCUGUCACCAUUACCUGAGACACUGGGGGGAGACAUGAUGGUAACAGCAAUUACCUGUUGGAAGAGGCAAGGACUGGACAGAUGUGGGGCAGAUGCAAGGAAAAGAAAGCAAGUUUCACUGAAUGGCCUUUUGUAACAGGGUGCAGCCAAGGGGGGGACCCCAAAUAGGGAUUUGUAAUGGGGUCCAGAACUUGGUGUCC